rnacentral:tRNA from 1 species
GAAAGUGGUUAUCUUGUUAUUUACAAUAACAAACACCUUAUUAGGCAUUUUUA